GACGAACGCUGGCGGCGUGCCUAAUACAUGCAAGUCGAACGCAGUGGGGACGGGUGAGUAACACGUGGGUAACCUCCCAUCAGAGGGGAUAACACUUGGAAACAGGUGCUAAACCGAUACUGAUGGAUGAACCCGCGGUGCAUUAGCUAGUUGGGGAGGUAACGGCUCACCAAGGCCACGAUGCAUAGCCGACCGAGGAGGGUGAUCGGCCACACUGGGACUAGACCACGGCCCGAACUCCUCCGGGAGCAAGCAGUAGGGAAUCUUCGGCAAUGAACGAAAGUCUGACCAGGCAACGCGCGGUGAGUGAAUAAGGUUUUCGGUUCGUAAAACUCUGUUGUUAGAGAAGCGGUAUCUAACCAGAAAGCCACGGCUAACUACGUGCCAGCAGCCGCGGUAAUAC
rnacentral:rRNA from 1 species